GAUGAAGAACGCAGUGAAAUGCGAUAAGUAAUGUGAAUUGCAGAAUUCAGUGAAUUAUCGAAUCUUUGAACGCACAUUGCGCCCGCCAGCACUCUGGCGGGCAUGCCUGUUCGAGCGUCAUUUCAACCAUCAAGCCCCCAGGGGCUUGUGCUGGGGCCCUGCGGCUGCCCGCAGGCCCUGAAAACCAGUGGCGGGCUCGCUAGUCACACCGAGCGCAGUAGCACAUCUCGCUCAGGGCGUGCGGCGGGCACCUGCCGUGAAACCCCCCACUGUAACCCCAAAGGUUGACCUCGGAUCAGGUAGGAAUACCCGCUGAACUUAAGCAUAUCAAUAAGCGGAGGA
rnacentral:misc_RNA from 1 species